rnacentral:pre_miRNA from 1 species
GUGGGGUUUUCUGUCUCCAAUCCUGGAAUAGGGUCAGAGUGUGCCCUGAGGAGAAGCAGCAGAGAAUGAGACUGCAUCAC